AAGACUGUUUCUCGAAUGAAUAAAAAUAGUGCUGCAGAGGUAAGUGGAUCUUACAUUUCUUUGUCGCUUUGAAUCAGAAAUUUAUUUUGUCACAGUUAUUCACGGUAUUGUUGCCAUUUAAUGUUUGAUGCCAUCUGAAUAUUCUGAACAAUAAGAGUAGGCUAACUUUACAUAUCAGUGAUCUAUAGUGAUUGGUUGUCCAAUGUUAUGUGUGGUGUGGAUCGUUAGGAUGUUUAUGAUUGAUCAUCUGAUUGCCAAUAUUCUGUCAAUAACUUGCAUUUUAAGGAUCUAAAUGCUAAUGUUUUAUCAAUAGCUUGUAUUUUAAGGUGGCAAUAUGCGGUGUCGUUACAUAAUUACUAGCAAUUCCAUUCAGGCCAGCAUUUCAAACAGGUAGCCCCUUCUUUCGGUGAUCCAUACUGUCCCAUCGGUAAUAUUUGGUAAUUGCAUACCAUUCAUUUGAUUCGGGGACUAUCCCAUAAUCCGGUAAUUGUUCGUGUGACUCAACCCAUUUUUAUGAUCAAACUGUUCAUACAACUGAGCUCGAUUUAUUGAUCCAAACACUCUUAUUACUUAGCCCAUAUUAAGUGAUCCCAAUUGUAAAUAUGAUUGGGCCAAUCUUGUAUCAUUUAAGUCGUUUAGAUGAUUUGCCCAUACUUAGUGAUCUUGGUUGUUUAGGUAAAUUUGAAGUGAUUAAUACCAUUCAUCUAAUUCGGGAACUAUCAUGUGAUCCUAAUUGUUCAUGACUCGGGCCAUUUUCUAUGAUCAAAUUGCUCAUACGACUUAGCUCGAUUUAUUGAUCCAAACACUCUUAUUACUCAGCCCGUAUUGAGUGAUCCCAAUUGUAAAUAUGGUUGGGUCAGUCUCGUAUCGUUUAAGCCGUUCAGAUUAUUUGCCUGUACUUAGUGAUCUUAGUUGUUUAGGCAAAUUUGUAGUGAGUCAUACCAUUCAUCUAAUUCGGGAACUAUCAUGUGAUCCUAAUUGUUUGCGACUUGGCCCAUUUUCUAUGAUCAAAUUGCUCAUAUGACUAAGCUCAAUUGAUUGAUCCAAACACUCUUAUUAAUAGGCCCGUAUUGAGUGAUCCCAAUUGUAAAUAUGGGUGGGCCAGACUCCUAUCAUUUAAGCCAUUCAAAUCACUUGCCCGUUAUUAGCGAUCUGAGUUGUUUAGGAAAAUUUGUAGUGACCUAACAUAGCCGCAUGGUUGGGCCUACUUUUAGUGAUCCAUGCUAUUCAAAUGAGGUGGCUUGUUUUCUUAAUUCUAAAUUGUUUUGUUGUGGUGAACUCAUUAUCAAAUGAUUUGAACCUUCCAUAUGAAGGGCCAGGCUAGCUCAUGCUCAGUGAUCCAAAUGGGCAAUGUGAAUGGCUAGUUUUUGGUAAUCCAUACCAUUCAUAUGAUUAGGGGACUAUUUCUAGUGAUCCUAAUUGUUCAUAUUGAUUCAACCCAUUUUCUUUGAUGAAAAUGUUCAUAUGACUGAGCUCAUUGUAAUGAUCCAAACAUUCAUAUGACUCGGUCGUAUUAAGUGAUCCUAAUCAUUAACAAGGUUCGGUCAAUCUUCCGUCAUCUAAGUCAUUCAUAUGAUCUUGUCAAUCAAAA